UACGUAGGGAGCAAGCGUUGUCCGGAAUUACUGGGCGUAAAGCGUGCGCAGGCGGUUUGUUAAGUCUGUUGUGAAAUCCCCGAGCUCAACUUGGGAAUUGCAAUGGAUACUGGCAGGCUGGAGUAUGGUAGAGGAAGGUGGAAUUCCCGGUGUAGCAGUGAAAUGCGUAGAGAUCGGGAGGAACACCAGUGGCGAAGGCGGCCUUCUGGACCAAUACUGACGCUCAUGCACGAAAGCGUGGGGAGCAAACAGG
rnacentral:rRNA from 1 species